CUCUCUCUCUGUAGGAGAUCAAGGGGACAGGAACAUAAGAUUUUCCCGGAAUUUUUGAUAAGCGGCAAGUUUUUAUUUUCUUAAUGAAUCUGUCAGUGUUCUGCUCAAGACUCGAGACGCACAAGUAAAAUGUCCCAAAAGAACCUA